rnacentral:rRNA from 1 species
AUACGUAGGGUGCGAGCGUUGUCCGGAAUUACUGGGCGUAAAGAGCUCGUAGGUGGUUUGUCGCGUCGUCUGUGAAAUUCCGGGGCUUAACUCCGGGCGUGCAGGCGAUACGGGCAUAACUUGAGUACUGUAGGGGAGACUGGUAUUCCUGGUGUAGCGGUGAAAUGCGCAGAUAUCAGGAGGAACACCGGUGGCGAAGGGGGGUAUCUGGGCAGUAACUGACGCUGAGGAGCGAAAGCAUGGGUAGCGAACAGGAUUAGAUACCCUGGUAGUACAUGCCGUAAACGGUGGGCGCUAGGGGUAGGGGUCUUCCACGACUUCUGUGCCGUAGCUAACGCAUUAAGCGCCCCGCCUGGGGAGUACGGCCGCAAGGCUAAAACUCAAAUGAAUUGACGGGG